UUUUUGAAGAGUUUGAUCCUGGCUCAGGAUGAACGCUGGCGGCGUGCCUAAGACAUGCAAGUCGAGGGGGUUUAGACCCCCGGCGAACGGGUGAGUAACGCGUGGGAACUUUCUUCAAGUUUGGGAUAACCCUCCGAAAGGAGGAGUAAUAUCAGAUGUGCCCGCAAGGGUAAAGGAGCAAUCCGCUUGAAGUGAGGCCCGCGUCCCAUCAGCUUGUUGGUAAGGUAAAAGCUUACCAAGGCUAUGACGGGUAGAGGGCCCGAGAGGGUGAUCCUCCACACUGGGACUGCGACACGGCCCAGACUCCUACGGGAGGCAGCAGUUAGGAAUUUUGGACAAUGGGCGAAAGCCUGAUCCAGCGACGCCGCGUGCACGAAGAAGGCCUUCGGGUUGUAAAGUGCUUUUGUUGGGGAACAAUUUUUGAGCGUACCUAACGAAUAAGAGGUUGCUAACUCUGUGCCAGCAGCAGCGGUAAUACAGAGACCUCAAGCGUUAUCCGGAAUCAUUGGGCGUAAAGCGUUCCGAUAGGUGGUUUAGUGAGUCUUGAGUAAAAGCCCGAAGCUCAACUUCGGUGUUUGCUUAAGAUACUGCUAGACUAGAGGGGCAAAGAGGUAACUGGAACGAACGGUGUAGUAGUGAAAUGCGUUGAUAUCGUUCGGAACACCAAAAGCGAAGGCAGGUUACUGGGUGCCUCCUGACACUGCUAGGACGAAAGCGUGGGUAGCGAAUGGGAUUAGAUACCCCAGUAGUCCACGCUGUAAACGAUGAGUGCUAGGUAUGCGCGAGUAUCGACCCUCGUGCGAGCCGCAGCUAACGCGUUAAGCACUCCGCCUGGGGAGUACGGCCGCAAGGCUAAAACUCAAAGGAAUUGACGGGGACCCGCACAAGCGGUGGAGCAUGUGGUUUAAUUCGAUGAUACGCGAGGAACCUUACCAAGGCUUG
rnacentral:rRNA from 1 species